rnacentral:rRNA from 1 species
UACAGAGGGGGCAAGCGUUGUUCGGAAUUACUGGGCGUAAAGGGCGCGUAGGCGGCCCGCUAAGUCGAACGUGAAAUCCCUGGGCUCAACCCCAGGAACUGCGUCCGAUACUGGUUGGCUUGAAUCCGGGAGAGGGACGUGGAAUUCCAGGUGUAGCGGUGAAAUGCGUAGAUAUCUGGAGGAACACCGGUGGCGAAGGCGACGUCCUGGACCGGCAUUGACGCUCAUGCACGAAAGCGUGGGGAGCAAACAGG